GAAAUUGUAAGAAAAACUUGGAAAUUUUUAUUGAAAUUUUGGAGAAUGUUUAUUUAGUCAAUUAUCUACUCUCUGUUGCCGUUGCCGUUGAAUUGCCCCUGCUACUCUAGCUUCGUAAUCGCUAAUACUGGGUGCUUCGUUGCAAUUCGUUUCUCUAAAACGUUUUGGGUUGUGAUGACAUGCCUAUUCACAUGUGAACAAAGGUUCUUUGCUCUCAAUUAUGCUGCAGAUGCUGCCUGCACCGUUCUACGGGUUGAUCAGGUUGCAUACUUUUGCAAGUUUUCCAAAAAUACAGCAUGCCCGUGCCUGGUGUUGUAUGACUCCAAACCCUUCUUACAGCAUGAUGUCAACCAUAUGUGUGCCAUCACUUCACAAAUGCCUUCUGAAACUUUUUUUU